GACUCUCGACAACGGAUAUCUCGGCUCUCGCAUCGAUAAAAAACGUAUUGAAAUGCGAUACUUGGUGUGNAUUGCAGAAUCCCGUGAACCAUCUNNUCUUUGAACACAAGUUGCGCCCGAAGCCAUCCGGCCGAGGGCACNUCUGCGUGGGCGUC
rnacentral:rRNA from 1 species